rnacentral:rRNA from 1 species
UGUAAUGCAAGUUAUGAUGGACUAGCUGAUGAACUUUUGUUUUUAAACCCUUACCUAAAUACUGAUUUAUACUGUGGGGACGAAAGUCCUUGCUUUUACUAGAUAACAACUUUCAGCAGUGGAUGUCUAGGCUCGCACAUCGAUGAAGAACGCUGCGAACUGCGAUACGUAAUGCGAAUUGCAGAAUUCAGUGAGUCAUCGAAAUUUUGAACGCAUAUUGCACUUUCGGGUUAUGCCUGGAAGUAUGUCUGUAUCAGUGUCCGUAAAUCAAACUUGCCUUUCUUUUUCUGUGUAGUCAGGGAUGGAAUGUGCAGAUGUGAAGUGUCUCGCAUGGUUGCGUUCGUUUUUUCGAUCGAGAAUCUGUCGAGUCCUUUUAAAUGGACACGGUCUUUUCUAUGGUUUCUAUGAAGUGUAAUGGUUGGAAGGCAGUGAUUUUCGGAUUGCUGGCGGCUUUUGGCGACUUCGGUAUGAACGUAUGGAGACUAGCUCAAUUCGUGGUAUGUUAGGCUUCGGCUCGACAAUGUUGCGUAAUUGUGUGUGGUCUUUGUUUGUGCCUUGAGGUGUACUAGAGGGUUGUCGGUUUGAACCGUAAGUGAUUGUUUAGUAGAGCAUUUUCACGAUGUAUGGAGACGCUGCAUUUAGUUGCGUAGAGAGAUUGAUUUGGGGAAAUUUUGUAUCAUUGUCAAUUGCAAGAUUGUGUAUGGUAUCUCAAUUGGACCUGAUAUCAGACAAGACUACCCGCUGAACUUAACAU